AAUAAGUGUUUUCUUUCGUCCUGGACCAGCAGUGACUCUCCGGAGUUUUGAUUCUGACAGGAGGAGACUCAGUGAUUCACUGAGGAUUUUGGGGCUGCGAGGAGGACGAAAGGCGAAUACAAAUGCAGCAAAGGGCUUCAGCAUAGAGAGGAAUCCUGCAGGUGUAAUGGAUGGAAAGACGUGUUCCAUGAAGGAGAUGAUGAACCCCAUCUGCUGACAGUUCAUCAAUAGGUGUUUGAACGGUGGAGGGGAGGCAGCAUUAGCAGCAUGAAGCGGCAGGCCACAACACAGACGAGGCAUGUUGUCCUCUCAAAACUUGCUGAUAAUCGGGAUUCAGCCUUUGCUACUGCAGGAGCUAUUUGAGGCUUUUGCUCAGGGUGAAACAGAAAAAGUGUG